UUUACGACAGUUAUUUAGUUUAUAAUAUUUUCGCUUAGUGAUUCAUUCAAUAGUAUUUUCUAGUUAGAAUUAUAAGUGUUUAAAGUGUAUUCAUUGCAUGUAAAAUAUAUCGGCAUGCGAUGACGUCACAUCCGGUUUCGCCGCGUCUUGUGGGAAAACACCGGUUUGAAAUUAGCGCGAGGGUGGGGGCUUUCCACGAGGCUCACCUGAGCACAAGCAGUUUGCAGGCAUGAGAAAUCACAGUGAGAGCAACGCUUUUUCACCAUAUGUUAAUGUGAAGAGUGAACAGUAAAUGGUUAAUCUUACUGCGAUCUGGUUCUUAUUAACUGUGGUUUAUCCGGACGUUAAAUUCGGCGUUUCGUUACACCCGAAGGAGAACGUGACAGUGAAAAAGCGGCAUUAUCAGGUGUUUCAAGUGCUGCAAUGUCAGCUCAAUCCAGCAUCAAGUCGACGCCGCCCAGCGACAAGGGCAGUAAACCGACAUCAAGUAAGCCCACCCGGGCGUUAUCAGGUGUUCCAAGUGC